rnacentral:rRNA from 1 species
AUUGAACGCUGGCGGCAUGCCUUACACAUGCAAGUCGAACGGUAACGGGCCUUCGGGUGCCGACGAGUGGCGAACGGGUGAGUAAUACAUCGGAACGUGCCCGAUCGUGGGGGAUAACGAGGCGAAAGCUUUGCAAAUACCGCAUACGAUCUACGGAUGAAAGCAGGGGACCGCAAGGCCUUGCGCGGACGGAGCGGCCGAUGGCAGAUUAGGUAGUUGGUGGGAUAAAAGCUUACCAAGCCGACGAUCUGUAGCUGGUCUGAGAGGAUGAUCAGCCACACUGGGACUGAGACACGGCCCAGACUCCUACGGGAGGCAGCAGUGGGGAAUUUUGGACAAUGGGCGCAAGCCUGAUCCAGCCAUGCCGCGUGCAGGAUGAAGGCCUUCGGGUUGUAAACUGCUUUUGUACGGAACGAAAAGCCUUCUUUUAAUACAGGAGGGUCAUGACGGUACCGUAAGAAUAAGCACCGGCUAACUACGUG